GUGUAGGUAUUUUGGCUCAAUAAUAUCACGGUCAAAGAAGUUGAAGCAAUACCAUUAGUAUUGAGCAGCGAUGGAAAACAAUAGAUCGGGGCGUGUGGUUGGGACUGAUGGAUUUGGUGAUGGUGGGUUUUCAAUGGGUUAACGUCAGUGAUGUCCCGCAACAGAAGAAGAACCCCUUCGUCUUUGUCUCUUUGAGGAUUCCGUCGUUGAUGUUUGUUGGAACUUUUAAUCAUGGAAAUUGUAACACCUUUAAAGGAAUGCCACUUGUAAAAAAAAAUUAAAGUAUAAAUUGUGUAACAGUUCUUGUCAAUUUUUUUUUUCAUUUAAAAACACAGAAGCAAAUCAUAAACAUAUCAUAUGUUCGUACACC
rnacentral:lncRNA from 1 species